GGGGAUAACUACUGGAAACGGUAGCUAAUACCGCAUAACGUCGCAAGACCAAAGAGGGGGACCUUCGGGCCUCUUGCCAUCGGAUGUGCCCAGAUGGGAUUAGCUUGUUGGUGGGGUAACGGCUCACCAAGCGACGAUCCCUAGCUGGUCUGAGAGGAUGACCAGCCACACUGGAACUGAGACACGGUCCAGACUCCUACGGGAGGCAGCAGUGGGGAAUAUUGCACAAUGGGCGCAAGCCUGAUGCAGCCAUGCCGCGUGUAUGAAGAAGGCCUUCGGGUUGUAAAGUACUUUCAGCGGGGAGGAAGGGAGUAAAGUUAAUACCUUUGCUCAUUGACGUUACCCGCAGAAGAAGCACCGGCUAACUCCGUGCCAGCAGCCGCGGUAAUACGGAGGGUGCAAGCGUUAAUCGGAAUUACUGGGCGUAAAGCGCACGCAGGCGGUUUGUUAAGUCAGAUGUGAAAUCCCCGGGCUCAACCUGGGGACUGCAUCUGAUACUGGCAAGCUUGAGUCUCGUAGAGGGGGGUAGAAUUCCAGGUGUAGCGGUGAAAUGCGUAGAGAUCUGGAGGAAUACCGGUGGCGAAGGCGGCCCCCUGGACGAAGACUGACGCUCAGGUGCGAAAGCGUGGGGAGCAAACAGGAUUAGAUACCCU
rnacentral:rRNA from 1 species